AUUGAACGCUGGCGGCAGGCUUAACACAUGCAAGUCGAGCGGGGGAAGGUAGCUUGCUACUGGACCUAGCGGCGGACGGGUGAGUAAUGCUUAGGAAUCUGCCUAUUAGUGGGGGACAACAUCUCGAAAGGGAUGCUAAUACCGCAUACGUCCUACGGGAGAAAGCAGGGGAUAUUCGGACCUUGCGCUAAUAGGUGAGCCUAAGUCAGAUUAGCUAGUUGGUGGGGUAAAGGCCUACCAAGGCGACGAUCUGUAGCGGGUCUGAGAGGAUGAUCCGCCACACUGGGACUGAGACGCGGCCCAGACUCCUACGGGAGGCAGCAGUGGGGAAUAUUGGACAAUGGGGGGAACCCUGAUCCAGCCAUGCCGCGUGUGUGAAGAAGGCCUUAUGGUUGUAAAGCACUUUAAGCGAGGAGGAGGCUACUCUAGUUAAUACCUAGGGAUAGUGGACGUUACUCGCAGAAUAAGCACCGGCUAACUCUGUGCCAGCAGCAGCCGCAG
rnacentral:rRNA from 1 species